CCUCCCGUAGGUCAAUGGAUAGACCGCGAGCUUGCGGUGUUCGUAAUGUAGGUUCGAUUCCUGCCGGGAGGA
rnacentral:tRNA from 1 species